ACGAAGUAGCUCAGUGGAUAGAGCAUCAGACGAACGUUCUGACGGUCACGGGUUCGAAUCCCGUCACGCACCA
rnacentral:tRNA from 2 species